rnacentral:lncRNA from 1 species
CUUGAGGAUUUAAAGUGUGACGUGGCCAAUUUAGAUCACUCUGUCUUGGGUACCCUGUAGAAAGAUAGUCACGUGACGAAGCAGCAUGCUUGAAUUUUGUACUUUUUACUAGCUUUAUUAAAACGAUACUUAAACCAACAAAAUGUAGUAUUUCGCGUGAUAGUUGAACUCGUAACAAAAGCAGCUUCUUAAACAGUUUCUUUAUGCAUAAAAUUUACUUCUGUCAAGCUUUAUGCACUUGUGGGAUCAGCGGAGUGCUGAGGCAUUCAAAUUCUAACAAUACGUUAUUUCAAUAGGGACACCCUG